rnacentral:rRNA from 1 species
CAGUAGCCGCGGGAAAACGAACCGUGCAAACGUUACUCGGAAUCACUGGGCUUAAAGCGCACGUAGGCGGCGACAUAAGUUAGAGGUGAAAUCCCAUCGACUCAACCGUGGAACUGCCUCUAAUACUGUGUUGCUUGAGGGAGAACGGGGCAUUCGGAACUUCCGGUGGAGCGGUGAAAUGUGUUGAUAUCGGAAGGAACGCCGGUGGCGAAAGCGGAAUGCUGGGUCUCUUCUGACGCUGAGGUGCGAAAGCUAGGGUAGCGAACGGGAUUAGAUACCCGCGUAGUCCCUGUCUCUUAUA